UGUCAUUGGUCAUCCCCUCCCUCACUCUGUCACUAGUCAUCCACUCACUCUAGUGACAGAGUGAUGGAGGGGGUGACUAAUGACAGAGUGAUGGAGGGGGUGACUGGUGACAGAGUGAGGGAGGGGAUGACUAGUGACA